rnacentral:rRNA from 1 species
UAAAGCGUGCGCAGGCGGUUAUGUAAGACAGAUGUGAAAUCCCGGGCUCAACCUGGGAACUGCAUUAGUGACUGCAUAGCUGGAGUACGGCAGAGGGGGAUGGAAUUCCGCGUGUAGCAGUGAAAUGCGUAGAUAUGCGGAGGAACACCGAUGGCGAAGGCAAUCCCCUGGGCCUGUACUGACGCUCAUGCACGAAAGCGUGGGGAGCAAACAGGAUUAGAUACCCCUGU